CUGGCCUCGCCGUCUCCCAGCAACGCGGGCGGGAGGCGGGCCUAGGAGGGUUGCCUAGCAACCGAGCCGUCCUUCAUCCCUGCCGACCUCCACGCUCAAUGCACCGGGUUAGGGUUCCUCUGGUUUCCACCUCCCUCUUCUGCUACGCUCCACGCCGUCGCUUUUCAUCCUCAAAGCGUUAGGGAAAAAAAAAAAUAUAUAUAUAUAUAUCUCAACCCUUGCUAGGGAUAGUGCCCUGAUCUGCCCACUCGCCCUGGGUGCACUUCAUGCCCCUCCGCGUGGUGCAGGGAGUGGAGAGAGGACAGAGGGAAUUCAUCCCCAGCUGCAGGCUCGCCGCCUACUGACUACAGGAACGCGUUGGUUCCUGUCCCGGACCCGGCCUAAAGCUUGCAGCUCCAGUGCCCGGAUGCCUUAUAAUGGGGACACUGAUGUUUCAUCUUCUGAAAAAGUAAACCCUCUGUAAUCUGCAGCCCUGUGAAACCUCCUGGCUAUUGAGUGCUACUAACUCUUAAGUGUACAGUGGGGUUUUCCAGAGGCUACAUAACAUGUGAUAUGGAAAUAUUGAAAACAAGCGGAUAUGUGAAUCCAGUCAUGUGCUGUUAAACCAGAGACCGCAGAUUCCCAAAAACAUAAAACACUGCCACUCUACUCAAUUUUUUGGUUAAUUUUGGCAAGUAGCUUUUCAUCUAAAAGAUGUUGUGAACAUUUAAUUGUU